rnacentral:rRNA from 1 species
UACGAAGGGGGCUAGCGUUGUUCGGAAUUACUGGGCGUAAAGCGCGCGUAGGCGGUUUUGCAAGCCAGACGGUGAAAUGCCUGAGCUCAACUUAGGAAUUGCCUUUGGGACUGCGAGGCUUUGAGGACUGGAGAGGUGAGUGGAAUUCCCAGUGAUAGUGGUGAAAUACGUAAGAGAUUGGGAAGAACACCAGUGGCGAAGGCGGCUAUCUGGGACGGUUUCUGACGCUAAGACGCGAAAGCGUGGGGAGCAAACAGG